AAGGUAAGAGGUUAAGAGUCGUUAGAAGGUAAGAGGUUGAGAGUCGUUAGAAGGUAAGAGGUUGAGAGUCGUUAGAAAGUAAGAGUCGUUAGAAGGUAAGAGGUUGAGAGUCGUUAGAAGGUAAGAGGUUAAGAGUCGUUAGAAGGUAAGCCGUUCUACAACAUAGAAGAUCAUAGAAAAUACCAGGAAAUCCCAAUGUCUAUAAUGUUGUAAUUAGCUCACAUAGUUGCUGUCACAAACUCCACCCAUUUGUCACUGACCAAUUGGAUAUUCAUUUCCCAGUGAGCAAACCAUUUCUGUACUUAACAGCAUUCAAUAUGAAAUCAUUUUGAUCCGGGUUUUUUUUUCUUCUUUUUUUGGACAUUAUUUUAUUUUUAUUGACAUUUGUUGUGGUCUACUUGUAGCUUUGACUUGUCUGGAAAAUAAAAUGUUAAAGC
rnacentral:lncRNA from 1 species